rnacentral:other from 1 species
AUUUCCAGUGCAACAGUUGGACCACAGCACAAUCAUAGCCUUGUUAUUUAACAGUAUUUUGUCUUCUUGGAGAACCAUUUUCAGUUCAAAGCUGGAAAUAGCUUGUCUUCCAAUUCCAUCUUUUAAUUUUCUAUUUUGUUAUUCUUUAGAGGAACACCAAGAAAUC